AUUGAACGCUGGCGGCAGGCCUAACACAUGCAAGUCGAGCGAGCGGGGGACGGGAGAGAAGUGUAGGGGGAUGCGCGCGAUAGAGGGGGAUAACCACGGGAAACGGGGGCAAAUCCCGCAUACUAUCGGAUGAACACAUAGGGGAAUAGCUAGGGGGUGGGGUAAAGGCUCACCUAGGCGACGAUCUCUAGCUGGUCUGAGAGGAUGAUCAGCCACACUGGGACUGAGACACGGCCCAGACUCCUACGGGAGGCAGCAGUGGGGAAUAUUGCACAAUGGGCGCAAGCCUGAUGCAGCCAUGCCGCGUGUAUGAAGAAGGCCCUAGGGUUGUAAAGUACUUUCAGCCGGGAGGCGUUACCCGCAGAAGAAGCACCGGCUAACUCCGUGCCAGCCGCCGCGGUAAUUC
rnacentral:rRNA from 1 species